rnacentral:rRNA from 1 species
GGGGAAUUUUGGACAAUGGGCGCAAGCCUGAUCCAGCAAUGCCGCGUGCAGGAUGAAGGCCUUCGGGUUGUAAACUGCUUUUGUACGGAACGAAAAGCCUCUCUCUAAUACAGGGGGGUGAUGACGGUACCGUAAGAAUAAGCACCGGCUAACUACGUGCCAGCAGCCGCGGUAAUACGUAGGGUGCAAGCGUUAAUCGGAAUUACUGGGCGUAAAGCGUGCGCAGGCGGUUUUGUAAGACAGUGGUGAAAUCCCCGGGCUCAACCUGGGAACUGCAUCCAUAACUGCCUGACUAGAGUACGGUAGAGGGUGGUGGAAUUUCCUGUGUAGCGGUGAAAUGCGUAGAUAUAGGAAGGAACACCAGUGGCGAAGGCGACCACCUGGACUGAUACUGACACUGAGGUGCGAAAGCGUGGGGAGCAAACA